AUGACUAUAUUAUCAUCACUUUUGAACAUAAAUUUACAAUAUUACCCUUACAACCUAAAUCUGAAAGUGCCAUUUGAAAUACGUGGGAGGCAGUGAUUGACUCUGGACCCUUUCCCUCUCCCCCCUGCUGUGCGUGACUCUGAACCUAAAUCUGGCAGUGACCCAUUUGUUGAAGACAGUUCACCCAUCGACGGAACCACCACCUGCUCCACCAUCAUUUGCCGAUAACUUCCUUGAUUGUUCUUGAUGGAGAAAGGGGAAGAAUGCACUUCUACUAGGCGACCGCUAUUUUUUGUGGAAAACAGUAAUUAUAUGGAUACGCCAACGCUGGGGGAUGAUGAGGUAGUGAUUGAUAAUCAUGGUGUAGUGUUGGGGAAUGAUGAUGAUGAUGUGGUAGUUUUAGAGCCAACGCCGGGAAAUGAUAAUGAUGGUAUUUAAAAGCCAACCUUAGGAAAUGAUGUUGAUGGGGUUUCAGAACCAACGUCGGGAAAUGAUGAUGAUGGGGUUUCAUGUCCAACGCUGGGAAAUGAUGAUGGUGAUGGUGGGGUUUCAGAGCCAACGCCGGGGAUGUUUUUUAAAACUGAAAAAGAACUAAUUUACUACUACAAGCAAUAUGGGAGACAGGCUGGAUUCGGCAUAAUGACACAAAGAAGUAAAAGGGAAGAUGAUGGGAGUGUUAGAUAUGUAACACUUGGUUGUGCUCAUGGUGGUAAGGCAA